CAACACCACAACUGGUCCAUUUUCCUUCUGCUUGAAAUGGAUAAUUCUCGGUACCAGCCCUUCGCCCUUCAGCAUGCACUGAUGGGGCCACGCUCCUGUCUGGGUUCUGAGGAUUGCCAGGGAAACAGGAGGUGCUAUAAGAGAUGACAACACAAACGCCAGAAUUGUUAAUGUUUUCACUGUCCAUGAUGUAUUUCUAUUUAUCAGAGUCCUGGGGUCGCUUUGCUUGUUGUUAGAUAAAAGCAGUAUAGUGUUAUCAGUCAUAAUUAAUUAUAUUUUCAAACUUUAACUUGGUUGCAACUUUACUUCUUUUAUCUGGAACCAGUAUAUGCUAGGCUGGUAGUUUUACGUUGAGGAUUCACUUCACUUAUCUAUGCAUUUUUAUUAAUACUCUAAUGUUUAGAAUCUACUUCAGAUGUACUGACUCUAUUUACUUGAUAACUUUGAUAUAUUUUUAGUAAAUUCUAAUGAAGUGCUAGGUAUUUGUGGCAUCUAAUGUCUCAGGAUUUUUAUGUUAUAUAUGAAAAUGUUUUCUUUGUAAGGUUAUAUAUAAGCAUUUUUAUAAAUUGGAUGUAAUAUAGCCUCUUUGAAAAUAUUGCUAAUACAUUGUGUUGAUAGAUAUUUUCUCUAAAA
rnacentral:lncRNA from 10 species